UACGGAGGGUGCAAACGUUGUUCGGAAUCACUGGGCAUAAAGAGCACGUAGGCUGCGCGCUAAGUCAGGUGUGAAAUCCCCCGGCUCAACCGGGGAACUGCACCUGAUACUGGCGUGCUCGAGGACGGUAGGGGUGAGUGGAACUCCAGGUGGAGCGGUGAAAUGCGUAGAUAUCUGGAGGAACACCGGUGGCGAAAGCGGCUCAUUGGACCGUCUCUGACGCUGAGGUGCGAAAGCUAGGGUAGCAAACGGG
rnacentral:rRNA from 1 species